UGUGUUACGCUGAAGGUCGCGUUACUCUGAACCUUUCACAUAAUCAAAAGCUCAGAUAAUUCAUUUGCAUGGUAAAAAAAAGUUGAACAAAAAAUUUUGAACCUGUUUUAAUAUGCUCCAAUAGUGCAGAAAGCUCGCAUCAAUCGCGCAAUGGUAUUUGAAUUGCACAUUUCCAACCAUUGGCCCCAAAACCAUGACAAAAAGCACAUCUGUUAUUCCAUCCGCCGGUGUUCCAGGGUUAGUACAUUUUUAAUUACCAUAGAAUAUACGGGAAAGUGAGAAACGAAGAAAAAUCCAUUCAUUGAAACCAAUGCAAACGGAUAGAAGCUUUGGUGCUAUCAGAUUUCUUCAGCUACAAUUCCGUUAAAUCCAGACACAAUGGAGAAUUCUAAAUCAGCGGCGCUAUCACCAUCUGCUCCGCACGUGUCUCCCACGUUGGCUGCUGCUCAGUUUCCUUCGUCGCAGCCGUGUGCUUUAUCUACAGUGUCGACGGUCACCGCUCAGCAACAAACUGCCGCAGGAUAUAUGCUAAAGCACACUUCCAAUAUAGCCUCCGUUUGUUCAGCAUCUCUCCAAGCUUGUCAGCAGCAGGCACCCCUGCCGAUUGCCCGGCAUCGUCGGACGCGCCUGCAACGUUCAGAAAGGUUGUUGUCGGAAAACUUUCAACCACCUGGUCCGUCCACUUACCCCACCUGAGAGGCACUGAUUCGAGACAGUUUUGGUCAAAUCGUCUGGCCAAUUAGAAUCACUAGCUGGGAGCUAACGGGCCGCAACAAUACUGCAAGCAUUUUCGACAAAACACCGACGAAUUGAACGAAAUGGGAAGAACCAAAUAACAACCUCGCCUGUCGCAGAAGUCCAUGAGGUACAUGAAACACGACUGAAAAACAAUAUAUUUUCACUACACGCACUGCGCGCUAACCGUAUUGAAUUCGGAAAUGUAAGCAAUACUGAGGGACUAUGUAAGAAAAGAGAGAUCGAUCCAAGUCGAACGAUAAAUGUCAAAAAUAUUGCUCAAGGAAUAGGGAUAAAACUAGAGCACACAUAUAAAAACAGGAUAAAACUGGACGAUAUUCCAAAAAACUGGAAGAUUUUAGGGUUCAACUGGAUGACUGGAUCGAGGAAAAAAAACUGGAAGAAUCCAGUUUAAACUGGAACAUUGGCAACGCUGGGUAUAUCGCACCACAACACGAUGAUGGAAUCGAUGACGAUGCUAAAGCACACACAGCGAUGAUACGGCCACCGCGUCCGCCGUGGAGGACUUCUUCCUCACGCUGGUCGUGAUUGCUGCUCUCCUCACUCGCACAAUAAAGAGAACCCCGUUAGGGCGAAAUAACUUCACCAGCCACGAACUG